CCCCUACGGGGGGCUGCAGCAAGGAAUUUUCCACAAUGGGCGCAAGCCUGAUGGAGCAACGCCGCGUGGGGGAUGACGCUUUUCGGAGUGUAAACCCCUUUUCGAGAGGACGAAGCCAAUGACGGUACUCUCGGAAGAAGGACCGGCUAACUACGUGCCAGCAGCCGCGGUAAGACGUAGGGUCCGAGCGUUGUCCGGAGUUACUGGGCGUAAAGCGCGCGCAGGCGGUGUCGUACGGCGGGGGUGAAAGCCCCCCGCGCAACGGGGGAGGGUCAUUCGAAACGGCGGAACUGGAGGGAGGGAGAGGUCGGUGGAAUUCCCGGUGUAGUGGUGAAAUGCGUAGAUAUCGGGAGGAACACCAGUGGCGAAGGCGGCCGACUGGACCUGUACUGACGCUGAGGCGCGAAGGCGUGGGGAGCGAACGGGAUUAGAUACCCGUGUAGUC
rnacentral:rRNA from 1 species